UGUCAGUCCAGCCGUCGUCUCGUGGCCCUGCGCUGGAUAACGCUAUCAGACGGUCUGAUCUCUGGAGGGCCCGCCGGGAAGCUCUUCAGGGCUGGGCCUUCCGAUCCAGAGCAGAGGAGAUGAAAACAGCUCAGUCUCGGCGCUCUUCCUGCCAGCUGGCUUGAUACUUGAGCCGGUGUCAGGUUGACAUGCUCCAAAACAGCACAUGCUCCCUGGCCUCUCCCCUCCUUUUCCUCUCACUCUGUCCUCCCUGCGCUCUGGGCCAUAAGCCAGGUCGACCCUGGCCCUGCCUGGCAUACGGCGGAGCGGGAGCCUGUGCUUGUGUGUCCUCUGCGUGGACCCGCGAAGGACACACUGUGCUGGCUAGCACCGGACCAACCGUGGCGGACGGGGCGGCGGCAGGGGUGGGGGAGCUGCUGAUGAGAGCCCCUACAGCCCGAAUCACCUGGGGAUUCCCUGUGACUAAACCUGUGCUGCAGGAGCGACUGCAGCAUACACACACACAACUGCUGAUACAUCAAAAUUCCCUGAUAGCCUGCAGCACAGUGUGUGCACGGCUGACUUACCAUCUGCGAGGAAACAAAGAGCUAAGCGGUGGGACACUGCUGACACACUGGGUAUUUUGUCCUUAAAUAAUACUUCUGUCUUUUGCCAACGGAUGGGAUUUAAACUACAUAUCUCUCACGCAGCCACUAUUUUUCUCUGUUUUGAUUCUUUAUGAGUGGCAAUCUCUAAACAAAAGUUUAACUGAAUGUGAACGAAGACAAAAGGAACAACAGUGCACUCUUGUGGUGUGGCACAGGAGGCCACAACUAGACCAAAGGCGACAGAGUCAAUCCUACAUGAUGGUAGGGAAAUACUAUAUCAAUUAAUUGAUCCUGACAAGUGCAAAGCAUUUUGUCCUACACUGCUGGUUUUAGAAGUGUCCUUAUUAUGAUGAAUAUGAAAUAUAGUGUAAUCUGAUGUCAGUGUGCUAUAUACACAGUAGGCCAAUAUAUCAGAGUCCUGCAUUAGAAAGGUAAGCACAACCAAAGAGCUAACAGAAAAGCUAAAGAAAACACUGAAUUUGUCAAGAAAGAAACCUUUUAAGUCGGUCAGAUUGUUAGAAAUUAAAUAAAAUUAUAUAAUACAGACAGAGAAUUGAAUAAAAAGUUUCUAAAAAUAUCAAGAAAACUCAUCUCUGAUUAAUAUUCACAGGAAAUAAAAUCUCAUUUAUACAAACUUC